GCACCAGAGCAAGAUCCCCCCGUGAACAGCGCCAGAGCAAGAUCCCCCCGUGGACAGCGCCAGAGCAAGAUCCCUCCCGUGGACAGCGCCAGAGCAAGAUCCCCCCGUGGACAGUGCCAAAACCAGAUUUCCUUAUCGACAGAGCUAAAGCCAGAUAUCACGGUGGGAAGCGCCAGAGCCAGAUACCCCGUAGACAGCGCAAAAGCCAGAUCCCCCCAUAGAGCGCUAGAUUCUACCAUGUAGAUCUGAUUUUGUACUGUACAGAAUGAUUUCCUCUGUGACAUAUACAUUAAUUUUUGGGGCUUUCAAACUAUUGUGAUAUUUUGUGUCCGUUUUAGAAAAUUCCUUGCUAUCAGUUUUUGUUAAUAUAUUUCGGAUACUUCGGAUACAAUUUCACAGCAAUGACUAAACAAUAACGGACAUUGAUAAAAAAAAACGAUGCCUAUCAAGUGCUUUCCCAAGCUGAAUGCCACGAAUUGUUUGGACACAGACAUUACCUGAACAGCAAAUCAAACUGUAGGUUUUAAAAAGUGGUUAUUCAUAGUUCAUCAAUGUUGAAAAUGUUUUACCUGCACCGGCCAGAACCAGCUUUGGUGAAUCUCUCACCCCUAAGAAACGGAGAUGCUUCUUGAUGUCUUGUGUGCAGUUUGUGAUUUUCAGGCACCGCACUAUACCAGGGUUGUCUUGACUAGCGCAACACUCCCCGCCUACGAACUGAGAGUAUGAGCAAAAAGCCAUAUUCUCACUAAAACUGUGCAAAACGGACAGCAAGAAGAAACCAGUGUAUAAACACUCAUAGAACGUACCUGGUACUGGUAUGAAAAACUUCUGUUUAUUACCAACUUUCAAUUUCACACAAGAUGUGUAACUUCCGCUCCGCAUUGAAAUAAAAUACAUCAUUUCGAUGGCUUACAAUUUCAAGCAAUCCUUACGGUUGGACAUUAUUUAUUUUAUUCUAUCCCACAAUAAGGAAUCAGAUUUUUUGAUGAGGGGCUCUUUCUGUUUUCUCUCUUUUUUUGUAUUGUGUUUGAGAAACUUUGGGACUCCUGUGUGCACUGCCGGUCACGUGGAAGCACCAUGAAAAACAUUCCGAGAUCGCAAGCCGAAGCGAGUUAAAAGGAAUUUUAUUCGUUUGUAGAGGAACAAGCAUUGAUUAAAAACGAUGGCUAUCAAGUACUUUCCCAAGCUGAGCGUUGUUUCGAGGUGGGAGCGUCGGCAAAAGCCAAAUUUUCCUGCCAAUUCAGCUGUUGGUGUCACAGUUAGCCCAAGUUUGAAAGGUCAAUAACCUGUGAAGUGUUGUAUCUUCUUGGCGCUCUCAGCGCUCCGGAUUUUAUUAUCCCCAAAAUUUUAUUUCAGAUUCUAGGCCAGUAAGUGACUGUCUUUUCAGGAAAAAUGGCCAUUUUUGAUAGAGCAAUGUACCAGAUGCGACUUUUAAGGCCUCAAUUUGUCGGUUUGACGAUCGUGCAAAAUGAUGGAUGCGAGGCUAUAUUUGAGAAAAUCUGUCAAAUAUUCUAUUUUAACUGGAUUAAGCCGAGAUUAAAAUAAUAUUGAGAGUA